GAUGAAGAACGUAGCGAAAUGCGAUAAGUAGUGUGAAUUGCAGAAUUCAGUGAAUCAUCGAAUUUUUGAACGCACAUUGCGCCCUUUGGUAUUCCUUAGGGCAUGCCUGUUCGAGCGUCAUUUAAACCUUCAAGCGAAGCUUGGUGUUGGGUGACUGUCCGCUUCACGGCGGACUCGCCUCAAAAUUAUUGGCGGCCGGUACAUUGGCUUCGAGCGCAGCAGAAACGCGAACUCGGGCCCGUCGUAUUGGCUCCCAGAAGCUAUCUUCACAAUUUUGACAUCGGAUCAGGUAGGGAUACCCGCUGAACUUAAGCAUAUCAAUAAGCGGAGGA
rnacentral:misc_RNA from 1 species